rnacentral:rRNA from 1 species
GGUUAAGCGACUAAGCGUACACGGUGGAUGCCCUGGCAGUCAGAGGCGAUGAAGGACGUGCUAAUCUGCGAAAAGCGCCGGCGAGGUGAUAUGAACCYUUGACCCGKCGAUGUCCGAAUGGGGAAACCCAGUGUGUUCCGACACACUAUCGUUAACUGAAUACAUAGGUUAACGAGGCGAACCGGGGGAACUGAAACAUCUAAGUACCCCGAGGAAAAGAAAUCAACCGAGAUUCCCCCAGUAGCGGCGAGCGAACGGGGAGCAGCCCGGAGUCUGAAUCAGCUUGUGUGUUAGUGGAACGGUCUGGAAAGUCCGACGGUACAGGGUGAUAGUCCCGUACACGAAAAUACACUUGCUGUGAACUCGAAGAGUAGGGCGGGACACGUGGUAUCCUGUCUGAAUAUGGGGGGACCAUCCUCCAAGGCUAAAUACUCCUGACUGACCGAUAGUGAACCAGUACCGUGAGGGAAAGGCGAAAAGAACCCCGGCGAGGGGAGUGAAAAAGAACCUGAAACCGUGUACGUACAAGCAGUGGGAGCACCUUCGGGUGUGACUGCGUACCUUUUGUAUAAUGGGUCAGCGACUUAUAUUCUGUAGCAAGGUUAACCGUAUAGGGGAGCCGAAGGGAAACCGAGUCUUAACUGGGCGUUAAGUUGCAGGGUAUAGACCCGAAACCCGGUGAUCUAGCCAUGGGCAGGUUGAAGGUUGGGUAACACUAACUGGAGGACCGAACCGACUAAUGUUGAAAAAUUAGCGGAUGACCUGUGGCUGGGGGUGAAAGGCCAAUCAAACCGGGAGAUAGCUGGUUCUCCCCGAAAGCUAUUUAGGUAGCGCCUCGUGAACUCAUC